CGAAGAACGGGUCGGAGAUGCGGCUUGGGCUUGCUUCAGUCUCUGGCUCAGGUGUUUAUUUGCAGGGUAAAAGAUGGAGAAGAGGAAAAUCUGAAAUGGGCACAAUUACACUCUCCCAUCCCGAGUCCUGUAAGAGGAGGCAGGUGACUGGGCCGCUCAGGAAUUUUGCUGUAGCACCUAUUUAUAGAUGUUUGGCAUGUGUGGAUCCUUCAUUUACGUGCGGCAUGAAAAUGAUUUCUCAGGAAAUCUUGGCUCUCUUCUCAGCAUUUUCAUAAAGGAGGUGGACUUUGAGGUCAGAAUGCUGGAGCUGAUAUCCUGCCACUGUUCAUUACUAGCCAUGUGACCUUGGGCAAGCUUUUUAACCUUUCUGUCUCUCAUUUUCUUCCCUUGCAGCUGGGGAUAAUAAUAACCUAACCCGAGAGAGGGCUGUGGUGAUAAUUAUAUAAGUUUUUGUGUGCAAAAUGCUCAACAAAUGUUAGAUACUAUUUUUAUUAUUAUCACAUACACCAGAAUGCCUUGGAGAGGAGGUUGUCCACUGCUUGUCAGUUGAUGAUCGCACUUUUGCUCGUUUAUUUAACACUCAUUUAACAGCAAAAGUGGCUGAGGCGGUAAGGCAUACAAGGAUAAAGGAGAGCUUCUUUCUGUCUUCAGGAUGCUUGUAUAUCGGCACAUAUUGCUGUAGAAGACACUUGUAACUCACCUCUGAAGAUUUUUCGCAUAUUGGACAAUACAUACACUUCAGAGAAUCACAGAACUGUAGGUUCCUUAACAGUCACUAAAAAUGACUCUUUGUUGGAAGAAAUCUAUAAUGUAAAUGCAAGAUGAUGAUAUUCCUACCCGUUUUCUUUCUGGAAGGAAAAAUUUUAAACAUUCAAAGAAAGGCUCUCUGCUCUAUGGAAGGAAUCUAGGAAUGAAGAGCCCUCUCAUCUCUUUCUUAUAGUUUGUUUCCAUAUUUAAUUGUCCUUAGAGCACAAAUACUAUCAUUUAACCUAAAUGUGCUCUUACUUCCCACUAUAUACCGCCAUGUUUAAACUCAAGGUAAGAAAAAUAACUGGCCUUUGGUCUCUUCCUCAUAGUAGUCCUUUAUUCUUACUUUAGUGUUAUUUGUAUUGAUGUUUAUAAAGACUAUUCACAUUUGUUUCUCAGAAUUAUCUUGUAUGCUAAGCAGAAUUUGAGACUCAGAGCACUACCUUGUCUAAGAUCACAAAGGUAGUUGCUUGAUCCAAAGAGAAUUUGCAUUUUUAAGGUUAAAUACAUUUUCCAUGAUGUGGUCAA
rnacentral:lncRNA from 1 species